AAUUAUUAAAAAUACUUAAAAAAAAGAGUUUCCCUCGAAAAACUUUCCCUCAAAAAAAGAGUCCUACUCCUAAAUUGAUUCUAAGUAGGAAAGCCUUCCCCUAAAAAAAAAACAAGAAGUCAAAAAAUUUAAAGAAACUCUAUCAACCUAAACCCUCGAUCUCCGCGAAAAACCUCCAUCAGAGAAACCCCCAAAAUACUCCAGAAAUUAAACCCGACCUCCAUUAGCGAAAACCUCCACCCACGAAAUAUUCCAGAAAUUGAAAUCCGAUCUCCAUCAACAAAUUGCUACGAAAGUUUCUGACACAAUCAGCACCGCACGAAGCCGUCGGCGACCCUCCAAAACCGUCUUCGGACUCGGUACCUGUCUCAGCAUGCCAUUCCUGUCCCGAAUUUUGUUUCUGGCUGUUUGAUUUUCUCACUAAUUCAGUGAUAGUGGUGAUCGUGAAUUUCUGCAUAUAUGUAAUUAUCAGUUUAUGAUGUCUUGCGUUUUGAAUAUAUUUUUGUCUGCAGUAAUCUAUUUCUAGAUUUGUUUAUACAUGUAAAGUUCCAUUUACAUAUGAAUAAUAAGAAAAUUCCUAGGCUCUUAGCUAAAAUAGUUUGCUCAUAUUUUUGUACACAAACAGCAAUAAAUACUCUAUGUUGUGAUUUGACAGGCUUAUUUUGUUGAAGUAUUGUUAACCUGAAUUUCACUUUA